GACGAAGGUGGCAAGCGUUGUUCGGAAUCACUGGGCAUAAAGCGCACGUAGGCGGCGGCGUAAGUCGGGUGUGAAAUCCCUCGGCCCAACCGAGGAACUGCGCCCGAUACUGCGUUGCUUGAGGGUCAAAGGGGUGCAUGGAAUUCCCGGUGGAGCGGUGAAAUGCGUUGAUAUCGGGAGGAACGCCGGCGGCGAAAGCGGUGCACUGGUUGACUUCUGACGCUGAUGUGCGAAAGCCAGGGGAGCAAACGGG
rnacentral:rRNA from 1 species